rnacentral:rRNA from 1 species
UACGUAGGGUGCGAGCGUUAAUCGGAUUUACGGGGCGUAAAGCGUGCGCGGGCGGCCCGUUAAGACAGGUGUGAAAUCCCUGGGCUCAACCUAGGAAUUGCGCUUGUGACUGGCGGGCUCGAGUACGGUAGAGGGAGGUGGAAUUCCUGGUGUAGCAGUGAAAUGCGUAGAGAUCAGGAGGAACACCGAUGGCGAAGGCAGCCCCCUGGGCCUGUACUGACGCUCAUGCACGAAAGCGUGGGGAGCAAACAGG